GAAUGCAAGUCCAAGGAUCUAGCAGUUGCUCAGUCCCACAAGGCAGGCAGGCGAAGAAGAGGGGGGAUCUUCCUUCUUCCAAUGUCCUUACAUAGGUCUCCUGCAGAAGGUGUGUUCCAGAUUAAAAGUGUGUACCACCACGCCUGGAUCUGGGACUUGCUUUGUCCCAGAUGACCUUGAACUCUUUGCCUUAGUCUCCUGGGAUUCAUAGCCACUAUGCUUCAAGAUCUCCAUGUCAAGAUCCAGGUCAGAAACUUGUAUCUCCCAGUCUCAAGAUCAGGAUCAAAGGUGAGCCUUCCAAUUAUAGAUUGUAGUUCAUUCCAGAUAUAGUCAAGUUGACAGGCAGGAAUAACCACUCCACCAGAAGAAACACUGAUACAACAGAAACUCAAAAGAAUAGAAUUCAUUCAGUAUACAAUGAAUCCAAG
rnacentral:lncRNA from 1 species